CGCCACAGUCCCCGGGGCUGAUGGUGUUGCAGUGCGCCGGUCGUCCAGCAGAGGGAGCUGUCGGCUCAGAGCGGAAUUCUCUCUGCAGUGCGUCAUCGGCGGAGCGGACGGGAAACGGGACAGUCGCGUCCGUGCGGUCGCGUCAUGUAAAGGCCUCCCGACCACCCGACCUGGAGCUCAGGAAGUGAAUGGAAUUUCGCCUGUGUUGCAGGAAAAUUUGAAAAACUUGACGGCAGCGCCGAGGAACAGAAGAAAAAUUGUGGAUGAACUUUUUUUUUUUUUCCAAUUUUCCUCUCAUUGAGUCGGAAAAGAUUUAAAGGAAAAGUUCACAUUUUUUCAAAGUCUGUCUUAAAAACAAGUCUCGCAUGACAACAGGUGACUUCUUGCUCCACGGGGAACCUUUAGGAAAUCCCCUCCCAACGCGCCUCCACAAGCCUUCUUUUCUGCAAAAGAAAUAUUCCUACGUUUAUCUGGAGAUAAUCCGUGGCUUCAGCGGCCUGAGUUCGACACAUCAAGCUUGUUGGGGUUCCACACCUGUCCACCAGGAGCCCUCACUGAGUCUCUUCACCUGACAGCCUGAGGGACCUUCCAAGUGCUUGCUCAGCUGCUCCAUAUUUGCUCUGUGGAGUUUCCCGCCACAGACAGACCCAGCCAGAGACCAGCUGGCGGACACGGUGGAGCAUUUAGCAGCUGAAGAGCCAGAUGUUUCCCUCGGGAGCUGGUGGAGACCAAAACCAGAGCAAAAAGAGAGGGAGUGCUGGACUGGACUCAGACACCACUCACCACUUCGCUUGGUUGUUGAAGCUUGGACUUUGGUCAACUCUGCCAAAGCGAAGAGGAAGACAGAGACAAAGGGUAUCUCUGUCAAGUCAAGUUUGAGGUGGAGGACGAUGGGAAGUACACAGCCACAGCUCUCGGGACUUUUCCCAGGAUGAAGGAUCAGCGGGUUAACUUUCCUCUGAGUGUUCAGGGUCCCCCUGAACACGGCUUCCGCGCCAAAAGCACAGGUGCAUAAUUGUGCAGAGGAAAAGCCAAGUACAGUGGAGCGAGCGGCUGUGCGAGUGAUGGUGAAGUGCACUAAACUGGACCUGAAAUCUUGUCAUCACAGUGAAGUUGCCAAGCGAAGGGACGCCACUGCCCCCAGCCAAAAACAUCCUGGGACAAAAACCUCUCAACCAUAAAACCUGUCGUGUUUACACUUUUUUUGCCCAGAUUAAGUGAACAUCAUAUUUAUGCUAAUUAAUGACCUGUAGCGGUGUUUGUAUGCGGAUUUUCUUACCUUGGGACGGAGCCAGGCUCGCCGUCCCCCCCCGUUUCCAGUCUUUCUGCUAAGCUAAGCUAACUGGCUGCAACUGGCUGCAGCUCCAUAAUUAAACCUGCAACAACAGAUUUUUUCAGCAUGUUUGAGCAAAAUGUCAAACAUUACCUGGUACCAGUUUCCUCUGUGUGAGCAUUUGCUGCUCUUAUAAUAAUAAAUGAAACACCUUUGGAUUUUGGACUGUUGGUUGUACAAAACAAAACAUUGGGAGACGUCACUUUUUUCUCUAUUUUGUGGCGAU